rfam:Sorex araneus cont1.467627, whole genome shotgun sequence.
GAGCUCCGCGGCCUCUCUCGGGUCAAAGUAAUUUUUAGCGAUUUUUUGGCGAUUUUUCGGCGGACUUCGAGUGGCGCUGGGCUCUCGGACAGGUUACGCCGUCUCUCCGGCUAGAUUAAUGAGAUCGGGCAUC